rnacentral:lncRNA from 1 species
GGUGAAAUCUCCGCUCUCCAGUAGCAAAAAAUGCAAGCCUACACUUGGUUUGCUGCUGAAAAUGUAACUUAGCAGACUUCUCAAAGACCAGCAUGGCAUGGAACUGGAUUGCUGUACUACACACUGCUUAAAUCAGUGUUGACCAAAUAUUCUUACACAUCAUGAGGCUUCCCAAGAGAUGAGACACAAAUGUUGAAUAUAACAGAAGUUGACCUCAAAAGGAAAAACAUUUCACAACCAAAUGAAUAAGUAGCCUUCUGCACUGUCCAGUUGUUCACUUGGAAUAUCAGACUUCAAGAAAUUGUUAGAUUAGUGGAUUUUGAAGUUAUUUUGAGAAUGAAGUGCAAACUCUAACAUAACAAAUAAGAUGAUAUAUGACUGUGAAAUCAUACAUGGAAAACUAUAUAUGUGUGAAAACCAGUUUGGACUUAAUGCUUCUGGCUUUUUUUUGAAAUGCCAUCAAACCAAAUUCUUGAAAUACUUCUGCAAAGG